AAGAAGCAGGACCCGCUGCAGCCCUGCGACACGGAGUACCCCGUGUUCGUGUACCAGCCGGCCAUCCGGGAGGCCAACGGGAUCGUGGAGUGCGGGCCCUGCCAGAAGGUAUUUGUGGUGCAGCAGAUUCCCAACAGUAACCUCCUCCUCCUGGUGACAGACCCCACCUGUGACUGCAGCAUCUUCCCACCAGUGCUGCAGGAGGCGACAGAAGUCAAAUAUAUCCUGCAAUGCUCGGGGAUGUGUGCGGUGGGGGCGGGGGCUGUAGGAGGUGUCUGUAGGGCUCAGAUUUUGAGCAGCGGGGCCAGCCUCCUUCACCGCCCGUGUCCUCCACAGGGCUCCGUUAUUUGUUCUCUAACCCUUCCCUGGGCCCCGGUGCUGCCUCCUGACCCUAAAGCUGCUUGCAGGGCAACUGGUGGCACCAGAGCAGGUUCUUCCAGACCUUUUUCCAGUCUGCAGAAUGGGCUCCGGUCCUGAGAUAUUGACCUUAACAGUGGCUUCUGCACAUAAUGCCUCUGUCAAAUGUGACCGGAUGCGCUCCCAGAAGCUCCG
rnacentral:lncRNA from 1 species